rnacentral:rRNA from 1 species
GGGCCCUACGGGGCGCAGCAGUGAGGAAUAUUGGUCAAUGGCCGGAAGGCUGAACCAGCCAAGUCGCGCGAGGGAAUAAGGCCCUAUGGGUCGUAAACCUCUUUUGUCAGGGAGCAAAGGCGUCCACGUGUGGACGAGAGGAGAGUACCUGAAGAAAAAGCAUCGGCUAACUCCGUGCCAGCAGCCGCGGUAAUACGGAGGAUGCGAGCGUUAUCCGGAUUUAUUGGGUUUAAAGGGUGCGUAGUCGGAGUGUCAAGUCAGCGGUAAAAUUUCGGGGAUCAACCCCGUCUGG